AACGAACGCUGGCGGCAUGCCUAACACAUGCAAGUCGAACGAUCUCUUCGGAGAUAGUGGCGCACGGGUGCGUAACGCGUGGGAAUCUGCCCCUGGGUUCGGAAUAACAGUUAGAAAUGACUGCUAAUACCGGCUGAUGUCCUCGGACCAAAGAUUUAUCGCCCAGGGAUGAGCCCGCGUAGGAUUAGCUUGUUGGUGAGGUAAAGGCUCACCAAGGCGACGAUCCCUAGCUGGUCUGAGAGGGUGAUCAGCCACACUGGGACUGAGACACGGCCCAGACUCCUACGGGAGGCAGCAGUGGGGAAUAUUGGACAAUGGGCGAAAGCCUGAUCCAGCAAUGCCGCGUGAGUGAUGAAGGCCUUAGGGUUGUAAAGCUCUUUUACCCGGGAUGAUAAUGACAGUACCGGGAGAAUAAGCCCCGGCUAACUCCGUGCCAGCCGCCGCGGUAACAC
rnacentral:rRNA from 1 species